UCAGCCUACGCCUUUGUUCUGAGAGCGCCGACUUGUGGCGGGAAUGUCAUAAUAAAUCUGUCAUUAUUUGUAUGUCGUUGUUGCGACUGGACAAUGGCGCACUGUAUAGGUCGAUUGCUUAUCUGAAAUGAGGCGAGUCAUGUCAAUCAACACCAAAGUUCCAAAACAUCGCGUAUAUUAAACAUCGUUACGCGCCUUCGUAAUGCACACCCUCCCCAAUUUAAAUGCAAUUCCGAGAA